rnacentral:tRNA from 1 species
GCCCAUGUAGCUCAGUUGGUAGAGCACAUCCUUGGUAAGGAUGAGGUCACCAGUUCGACUCUGGUCAUGGGCUCCA